GUGAUGUCAGGUGCUGUCCGGCCAGGUGGAAGCAGCGUGGCACGAUUUGGACUCGUUUCUGUUCUGGCAUUGAUUUCCACUGGUAUUGGUUUCUAUAUCCACUCAUAAGGGAUUCAUCAAACAGGACGAGAACUGGUGGAAUGUUAAGUCAACGUACAUGAGAAUCACAAAAUGGCUACUGCGUUAGUAAUACAAUAUCAAAAAAUUGUUAUUUAUUUAAUUUCUAACCUAGAAUCUAUCAUAUUACUUGUAUCUUUGAAAUAUUCUGCAAAUC